rnacentral:rRNA from 1 species
CCGGCGACCGGCGCACGGGUGAGUAACACGUAUGCAACCUGCCCUCUUCAGGGGGACAACCUUCCGAAAGGGAGGCUAAUCCCGCGUAUAUCGGUUUCGGGCAUCCGAGAUCGAGGAAAGAUUCAUCGGAAGAGGAUGGGCAUGCGGCGCAUUAGGAAGACGGCGGUGUGACGGACCACCGUUCCGACGAUGCGUAGGGGUUCUGAGAGGAAGGCCCCCCACACUGGUACUGAGACACGGACCAGACUCCUACGGGAGGCAGCAG